AGAAGCUUAGGAUAAUACAAACCAAGAACCUUCAAAGUUCUAAAUAGGGACUAACCCCCUAGCUUCUGCCC
rnacentral:tRNA from 1 species